ACGAAAGAUGGGUUUGCUUGGUGA
rnacentral:siRNA from 1 species